UACAGAGGGGGCAAGCGUUGUUCGGAAUUACUGGGCGUAAAGGGCGCGUAGGCGGCCUGCUAAGUCGAACGUGAAAUCCCUGGGCUCAACCCAGGAACUGCGUCCGAUACUGGUUGGCUUGAAUCCGGGAGAGGGAUGUGGAAUUGCAGGUGUAGCGGUGAAAUGCGUAGAUAUCUGGAGGAACACCGGUGGCGAAGGCGACAUCCUGGACCGGUAUUGGCGCUGAGGCGCGAAAGCCAGGGGAGCAAACGGG
rnacentral:rRNA from 1 species